UCGUCAGCUCGUGUCGUGAGAUGUUGGGUUAAGUCCCGCAACGAGCGCAACCCUUGUCCUCAGUUACCAGCACGUUAUGGUGGGCACUCUGGGGAGACUGCCGGUGACAAACCGGAGGAAGGUGGNGACGACGUCAAGUCAUCAUGGCCCUUACGGCCAGGGCUACACACGUGCUACAAUGGUGCAUACAGACGGUUGCCAAGCUGUGAAGUGGAGCUAAUCUGAGAAAGUGCAUCGUAGUCCGGAUUGGAGUCUGCAACUCGACUCCAUGAAGUCGGAAUCGCUAGUAAUCGUGAAUCAGAAUGUCACGGUGAAUACGUUCCCGGGCCUUGUACACACCGCCCGUCACACCAUGGGAGUGGGUUGCUCCAGAAGUGGUUAGCCUAACCUUCGGGAGGGCGAUCACCACGGAGUGAUUCAUGACUGGGGUGAAGUCGUAACAAGGUAGCA
rnacentral:rRNA from 1 species